rnacentral:rRNA from 1 species
ACCCGCUGAACUUAAGCAUAUCAAUAAGCGGAGGAAAAGAAACUAACUAGGAUUCCCUUAGUAACGGCGAGUGAACCGGGAAAAGCUCAAAUUUGUAAUCUGGCUGUCUUCGAUAGUCCGAGUUGUAAUCUAUAGACGUGUUUUCCGUGCUGGACCGUAUCUAAGUCCCUUGGAACAGGGUAUCAAAGAGGGUGACAAUCCCGUGCUUGAUACGACCACCAGUGCUCUGUGAUACACGCUCUACGAGUCGAGUUGUUUGGGAAUGCAGCUCAAAAUGGGUGGUAAAUUCCAUCUAAAGCUAAAUAUUGGCGAGAGACCGAUAGCGAACAAGUACCGUGAGGGAAAGAUGAAAAGCACUUUGGAAAGAGAGUUAAACAGUACGUGAAAUUGUUGAAAGGGAAACGAUUGAAGUCAGUCGUGUUCUUUGGAUUCAGCUAGUUCUUCUAGUCUACUUCCAUUGAACGGGUCAACAUCAGUUUUGUCCGGUGGAUAAAGAUAGUAGGAAUGUAGCUCCCCCGGGAGUGUUAUAGACUAUUAUUGCAUACACUGGGUGAGACUGAGGACUGCAGCUCGCCUUUUGGCCGGUCUUCGGACA